rnacentral:rRNA from 1 species
GAUGAGCGCUAGCGGCAGGCUUAACACAUGCAAGUCGAGGGGUAUAGCACUUCGGUGCUAGAGACCGGCGCACGGGUGCGUAACGCGUAUGCAAUCUACCUUUUACAGAGGGAUAGCCCAGAGAAAUUUGGAUUAAUACCUCAUAGUAUUAUGAAAUGGCAUCAUUUUAUAAUUAAAGUCACAACGGUAAAAGAUGAGCA